rnacentral:rRNA from 1 species
UACGGAGGGUGCGAGCGUUAAUCGGAAUUACUGGGCGUAAAGGGUGCGUAGGUUGUUAUUUAAGUUAUCUGUGAAAUUCCUGGGCUCAACCUGGGACGGUCAGAUAAGACUGAGUGACUUGAGUAUGGGAGAGGGUAGUGGAAUUUCCGGUGUAGCGGUGAAAUGCGUAGAGAUCGGAAGGAACACCAGUGGCGAAGGCGGCUACCUGGCCUAAUACUGACACUGAGGCACGAAAGCGUGGGGAGCAAACAGG